rnacentral:rRNA from 1 species
GAUGAACGCUGGCGGCGUGCCUAAUACAUGCAAGUCGAGCGAACAGACGAGGAGCUUGCUCCUCUGACGUUAGCGGCGGACGGGUGAGUAACACGUGGAUAACCUACCUAUAAGACUGGGAUAACUUCGGGAAACCGGAGCUAAUACCGGAUAAUAUAUUGAACCGCAUGGUUCAAUAGUGAAAGACGGUUUUGCUGUCACUUAUAGAUGGAUCCGCGCCGCAUUAGCUAGUUGGUAAGGUAACGGCUUGCCAAGGCAACGAUGCGUAGCCGACCUGAGAGGGUGAUCGGCCACACUGGAACUGAGACACGGUCCAGACUCCUACGGGAGGCAGCAGUAGGGAAUCUUCCGCAAUGGGCGAAAGCUUGACGGAGCAACGCCGCGUGAGUGAUGAAGGUCUUCGGAUCGUAAAACUCUGUUAUUAGGGAAGAACAAAUGUGUAAGUAACUAUGCACGUCUUGACGGUACCUAAUCAGAAAGCCACGGCCAACUACGUG